rnacentral:rRNA from 1 species
GUCUCCAGCCAUACUACCCUGAACGUGCCUGAUCUCAUCUGAUCUCGGAAGCUAAACAGGGUUGGGCCUGGCUAGUACUUGGUUGGGAGAAC